rnacentral:rRNA from 1 species
UGCUUACACAUGCAAGUCGAACGAGACGGGUAUUAGCUUGCUAAUACUGUCAGCUAAGUGGCGAACGGGUGAGUAAUAUAUAGGUAAUGUGCCUUGAAGAAGGGGAUAACAGUUGGAAACGACUGCUAAGACCCUAUAUGCCUUUAAAACAAAAGUUUGCAAGGGAAAUAUUUAUAGCUUCAAGAUCGGCCUGUACAGUAUCAGUUAGUUGGUGAGGUAAUGGCUCACCAAGACAAUGACGCUUAACUGGUUUGAGAGGAUGAUCAGUCACACUGGAACUGAAACACGGUCCAGACUCCUACGGGAGGCAGCAGUGGGGAAUAUUGCACAAUGGGGGAAACCCUGAUGCAGCAACGCCGCGUGGAGGAUGACACAUUUCGGUGUCGUAAACUCCUUUUAUAUAGGAAGAUAAUGACCGGUACUAUAUGAAUAAGCGCCGGCUAACUCCGUGCCAGCAGCCCGCGGUAAUACGGAGGGCGCAAGCGUUACUCGGAAUCACUGGGCGUAAAGAGCGUGUAGGCGGAUAGAUAAGUUGGGAGUGAAAUUCCUAUGGCUCACCAUAGAACUGCUUCCAAACUG